rnacentral:rRNA from 1 species
CCCUGCAGCCCAAGACUGGUUGCCCACUGAAGCUAAGCUGGGUUGAAUCUGGCCAAUACCUGGAUGAGAAACUCCUGGGAAAACUAGGUUGCUGCUGGAA